CAUGGCAUGGCACUGGUAUUUUAUUAUCUCUCUCCAUUUCUAGAUCCCCAAAACCCUCAAAUACUUUUUUUUUAUUUUUCCUUCCCAUCGAUCUCGCCAAUGGCCAACACUAAUCUCCCUCGAAGAAUCAUUAAGGAAACUCAGCGUCUCCUCAGUGAACCAGCGCCUGGAAUUAGUGCCUCACCAUCAGAGGAUAAUAUGCGAUAUUUCAAUGUGAUGAUCCUUGGUCCAACACAAUCUCCAUG